rnacentral:lncRNA from 10 species
GCAGCACUCAGAAGUAUGUUCUCAGAAUAAUUCCUGAUCCUCUGUGAGUUCCUGGUGCAGCUCCUGGAGGCAAAGCCUGCAUGGGGGAGGGAGUCCUCCUCACAUGCAGCCCUGAGGCUGCCACGUCACUUCACCCACCGUUGCCCUUCAGUCACUUCCUGAACACUUAUGAGUUGAUCUUCCUGAAACAUGUGGUAUUUGGCAGUGUCUUUCCCAGGCUGCACCCUUUACAAGGAGUCUCCAGUGGUACAGCGGAUUUUCCUCCAUCCUCCACUCCCCUUCCUGGCUGCAGCAUCCACAGAUUAUUUUCUUGAAUCUGACCCCAGUUGUUUAUUAAUUAUACCCCUUUUCAUGACACGGGAAGGCUAAGAUGAAGCUGUCUGGGAUGGAAAAGAAUCCCUUCCUCUCACAUAGAAUAAAGAUCUUGAAAAGU